GACGAACGCUGGCGGCGUGCUUAACACAUGCCAGUCGAACGGAAAGGCCCUGCUUUUGUGGGGUGCUCGAGUGGCGAACGGGUGAGUAACACGUGAGUAACCUGCCCUUGACUUUGGGAUAACUUCAGGAAACUGGGGCUAAUACCGGAUAGGAGCUCCUGCUGCAUGGUGGGGGUUGGAAAGUUUCGGCGGUUGGGGAUGGACUCGCGGCUUAUCAGCUUGUUGGUGUGGUAGUUGCUUACCAAGGCUUUGACGGGUAGCCCGCCUGAGAGGGGGACCGGCGACCAUGGGCCUGAGAGACGGCCCAGAAGCCUACGGGAGGCAGCAGUCGGGAAUAUUGCACAAUGGGCGGAAGCCUGAUGCAGCAACGCCGCGUGCGGGAUGACGGCCUUCGGGUUGUAAACCGCUUUCGCCUGUGACGAAGCGUGAGUGACGGUAAUGGGUAAAGAAGCACCGGCUAACUACGUG
rnacentral:rRNA from 1 species